rnacentral:tRNA from 1 species
GCUGAGAUGUCCGAGCGGUCUAAGGAGCUGGAUUCAAGUGAUACCAAGCGCUCCGCCGAGCGCCUUCGUGUCUCAUCCGGCGCCGAACAAACACUUUCACCGAGCAGUGGUGGACUUCCCAGUAGGGUAACCUGCGGGGGUUCGAAUCCCCCUCUCAGCA